rnacentral:rRNA from 1 species
AGUGAACGCUGGCGGUAGGCCUAACACAUGCAAGUCGAACGGCAGCACAGUAAGAGCUUGCUCUUACGGGUGGCGAGUGGCGGACGGGUGAGGAAUACAUCGGAAUCUACUUUUUCGUGGGGGAUAACGUAGGAAAACUUACGCUAAUACCGCAUACGACCUACGGGUGAAGGCAGGGGAUCUUCGGACCUUGCGCGAUUGAAUGAGCCGAUGUCGGAUUAGCUAGUUGGCGGGGUAAAGGCCCACCAAGGCGACGAUCCGUAGCUGGUCUGAGAGGAUGAUCAGCAACACUGGAACUGAGACACGGUCCAGACUCCUACGGGAGGCAGCAGUGGGGAAUAUUGGACAAUGGGCGCAAGCCUGAUCCAGCCAUACCGCGUGGGUGAAGAAGGCCUUCGGGUUGUAAAGCCCUUUUGUUGGGAAAGAAAAGCAGCAGGUUAAUACCCCGCUGUUCUGACGGUACCCAAAGAAUAAGCACCGGCUAACUUCGUG